AUGAUGAGAAAAAAGUAAAAUUUUAUGGUUAGAACACAAUGAUCAACCGUGAUUAAUACUUACUAGGGCGGACUGAUAUG